rnacentral:lncRNA from 1 species
AUGGCUAAAAUGGCCGUAUUUUCACCUCAAAAUUUUCUCUGAGUACAGGCAAACCUGUGCAUCUGGAAAAGUUUUAAGGCAUAGCAUGCCCUAGAUAAAUAGAAUUCAAAUGCAUUGUAUGAUUUAGAAAAUUCAUAACUUAACUGGAUUUUGCCGUACACUUUUUUUCGUCUCUGCAGAAGACGAUAAAAUUAACAAACAGUUGAGUUUAUCUUGAUAUGGUCCACUCAGGUACACAGUUUAAAUAACCAUUAUUGUCAGGUAUCUAUUGUCCAUCUAAUGUCCAUGUCAAUUAAAAAUGCUCACUUUAAUUUUUACCUGUGGGGAAGUUCUCAAACCUGUUUCCCAACUUAGUUUAUUUUGGCACCUUCUGGAGAAAUGAAA